AGUGAACGCUGGCGGCAGGCCUAACACGUGCAAGUCGAGCGGCAGCGGGUUCCCGCGAGGGGAUGCCGGCGAGCGGCGGACGGGUGAGGAACACAUCGGAAUCUGCCUGGUUGUGGGGGAUAACGUAGGGAAACUUACGCUAAUACCGCAUGUGACCCUGAGUCGACGGACUGGGGGUGAAAGUGAGGGACCUUCGGGCCUCACGCGACCAGAUGAGUCGAUGUCGGAUUAGCAGUUGGCGGGGUAACGGCCCGCCAAGGCGACGAUCCGUAGCUGGUCUGAGAGGAUGAUCAGCCACACUGGGACUGAGACACGGCCCAGACUCCUACGGGAGGCAGCAGUGGGGAAUCUUGGACAA
rnacentral:rRNA from 1 species